rnacentral:rRNA from 1 species
AUUGAACGCUGGCGGCAUGCCUUACACAUGCAAGUCGAACGGUAACAGGUCUUCGGAUGCUGACGAGUGGCGAACGGGUGAGUAAUACAUCGGGACGUGCCUAGUAGUGGGGGAUAACUACUCGAAAGAGUGGCUAAUACCGCAUGAGAUCUACGGAUGAAAGCAGGGGAUCGCAAGACCUUGUGCUACUAGAGCGGCCGAUGGCAGAUUAGGUAGGUUGGUGGGAUAAAAGCUACCCAGCCGACGAUCUGUAGCUGGUCUGAGAGGACGAUCAGCCACACUGGGACGGAGAAACGGCCCAGACUCCUACGGGAGGCAGCAGUGGGGAAUUUUGGACAAGGGGCGAAAGCCUGAUUCAGCAAUGCCGCGUGCAGGAUGAAGGCCUUCGGGUUGUAAACUGCUUUUGUACGGAACGAAAAGCCCUGGGUUAAUACCCUGGGGUCAUGACGGUACCGUAAGAAUAAGCACCGGCUAACUACGUGCCAGCCGCCGCAGUAA